rnacentral:snRNA from 1 species
UUGCUUUUGCAGCACAUGUACUAAAAUUGGAACCAUACAGUGAAGAUUAGUUGGCCCCUGCACAAGGAUGACAGCAAAUUCAUGAAGUAUUCCAUAUUAAA